GAAGUCAGCCAGACAGUCGCCGCUCGUUAAUUCGGGGGGAGGAAAGUCCGGGCUCCAUAGGGCAGGGUGCCAGAUAACGUCUGGGCGGCGUAAGCCGACGGCCAGUGCAGCAGAAAGAUACCGCUUCUUCUUCGGAGGGAGUAAGGGUGAAAUGGUGCGGUAAGAGCGCACCGCGUUAGUGGUAACACGAGCGGCUAGGUAAACCCCACUCGGAGCAAGACCAAAUAGGUGUUCAUAUGGCGCGGCCCGCGUUGAACACGGGUAGGUUGCUUGAGGCGUAUAGCGAUGUGCGCCCUAGAUGAAUGACUGUCUACGACAGAACCCGGCUUAUCGGCUGACUUCCUUU
rnacentral:RNase_P_RNA from 1 species